UGGGCAUAGAAACUUCUGGAAGAAGCUGACGAAUGUAGGUCGAGAGGAUUCCCUCCAAACAACUUCCGGUUUCAUCUGACCUAGUUAAAGUUUGUUAAAGAGGAAGCACAGAAAACAAUCCACCCCUCAUGGAGAAAACAUGGAACAGUGGUGAACUUUCCCAGGAGAGAUUGGCUGACUGCCACUGCCGCGACUUGAGCUCGCUGUUUCCAAAAUUAUUUCAAGAGCAGAUCCAGGUAUCAUCCAGGAUAUCACAAAAGAACCCAGUACAGCAUCUACAGCACCACAGCCCUCACUUGCCUCAGUCAAGGUGCUCAUAAUGCAAUAAUAAAAACAAAAUAGGAAAAAACAUGGCAUCCAUGAAAAAGUUCCAAAGCAAGAACUACUGUUAUCCAAGAUGAACACUGAGGCCCAUCGAUCCAAUAACUUUUGGGAACAUUGAUACCAAACUGUAACUUUUUAGAGGGUGAAUAUCUUGUUACAUCUCACAUAAACCAUUCAGAAUAAAGAACCUCAUACCAACAGUCAAAUGUGGUAGUGAUAACA